GACGAACCGUGCAAACGUUGUUCGGAAUCACUGGGCUUAAAGGGCGCGUAGGCGGGCUGUCAAGUCUGGGGUGAAAUCCCGCGGCUCAACCGUGGAACUGCCUUAGAUACUGACGGCCUCGAGGGAGGUAGGGGCGAGCGGAACUGUGAGUGGAGCGGUGAAAUGCGUUGAUAUUCACAGGAACUCCGGUGGCGAAGGCGGCUCGCUGGCCCUCUUCUGACGCUGAGGCGCGAAAGCUAGGGGAGCAAACGGG
rnacentral:rRNA from 1 species